rnacentral:lncRNA from 1 species
GGUGGUGAGCUUUCUGGCAAAAGUAAAGAGAUAGUACCCAAAGAUCAAGAAUUGGAGUACUCGAAAUUCGACUCCCGAAAUAGUGAGUAACCUUACUAUCGUCUUAAUUAUCUAAAGUGGUUUUUAUCCGAUUUUGUGAUUUUAUGAAAAAUGAGUUUAAAUGGUAAAUCUUUAUGUUUUAUAAGCAAAAUGUGAUUAAAUGAAAAUGAUUAUAUAAAAUUGUCUUGAAAUUGAAUGAUGGUUUUGAAAAUGGAGUAAUUGGAGACUAAUUGUUGUGUUAUAAAUCAUGGUUUGAAUUGAAUGGCUUAUGAUAAUAUUUGCAUGAAUGGUUGAAUUGGUAUUUGUGUUGAAAAUGUAUGAACUGUUAAUUUGCCUUGAGAGGCUGUAAAAUAAAAUAAUUGCCAUGUCAUGCUGUUGAAUUUUAUUGAAUUGGUGGGUUAUAUAUUGGUCGCUGCAGUGGAUGGGUUCCGUGGACCAACCUAUUAGAGGGGCACGGUAACCCUAUUAUAUUCUUACCUCAGUAUGAGAGGUGCGGAUGAAUAACUCUUGAGGUUAACACUUUAGAGUUCACUUCACGCUAAACCAACACGUGAGGGUGAACUCAGCCAACGCCAAUGAACGGCUAUGUUUUCAAAAUAAAAACAUGAUUUAUACGUACAUAACUUUUUAACAGCCUUGGCAGACUCGGUUGGGAUAGCCCUCGGCCAAGGUAUCCCUGAUAACUGAGUAUGAGAAUGAUUUUGGCACGAGCUAAACUUUUCAGGAAAUCAUAAGUCUCGUUGUUUAUUUUGGUGAAAUGAAUCUAUUUUAUCUUAUUAAAAUGAGUUUGAAAUGCUGAGAAUCAUUUUUAUGCUAAUCUAUUUUAUCUGUCUCCAUUUACUCAACUUUAGAUAUUUUAGAUGGUAUUUGUUUACUCACUAGGAUUAUAUAAUCUCACCACCCUCUUUUUCACCCCUUUCAGGCUCAGGAUAGUCGGUAGAUAACUCAUUUCGUUGAGGGCUACAGUUGGACUUGCAUCCUCAAAAACUGUAGGUUUACUGUUUUUGAUACUUUUGAUCGUUCGUGGGCCCACGUGUCACUGUAAAUUAAAUCUUAUGCUUUGGUUAUCUGUAUUACAGUAUGUAUGAAUUUAUUUAGCUUUUACG